AUUGAACGCUGGCGGCAUGCUUUACACAUGCAAGUCGAGCGGUAACAGGCCUUCGGGUGCUGACGAGUGGCGAACGGGUGAGUAAUGCAUCGGAACGUGCCCAGAGGUGGGGGAUAACGCAGCGAAAGCUGUGCUAAUACCGCAUGUGAUCUGAGGAUGAAAGCGGGGGACCAGGCAGCAAUGUUUGGCCUCGCGCCUUUGGAGCGGCCGAUGUCAGAUUAGGUAGUUGGUGGGGUAAAGGCCUACCAAGCCGACGAUCUGUAGCUGGUCUGAGAGGACGACCAGCCACACUGGGACUGAGACACGGCCCAGACUCCUACGGGAGGCAGCAGUGGGGAAUUUUGGACAAUGGGCGCAAGCCUGAUCCAGCAAUGCCGCGUGCGGGAAGAAGGCCUUCGGGUUGUAAACCGCUUUUGUACGGAACGAAAAGGCUCUGGCUAAUACCUGGGGCUGAUGACGGUACCGUAAGAAUAAGCACCGGCUAACUACGUG
rnacentral:rRNA from 1 species